rnacentral:rRNA from 1 species
UACGGAGGGUGCGAGCGUUGUCCGGAAUCACUGGGCGUAAAGGGCGCGUAGGCGGCAUGCCAAGCGUGUGGUGAAAGCCCGGGGCUCAACCCCGGGUCGGCCGUGCGGACUGGCGUGCUCGAGCACUGUAGGGGCGGGUGGAAUUCCGGGUGUAGCGGUGGAAUGCGUAGAGAUCCGGAAGAACACCGGUGGCGAAGGCGGCCCGCUGGGCCAGGAAGACACCGCAAGGUGUCGGCUGACGCUGAGGCGCGACAGCGUGGGGAGCAAACAGG